AUUUUCGGCAGGUGUCGGGCUUUGAGGACCACCACGGUCAGUCUCUGUGCCACGGGCUGGUAGGACAGAGACACCUGGAGCUCCCCUCUGCUAAUGCACUUCUGCGAAGAGGAAACAGCAGGGAGGGAAACGGACACAGUCUCAUCACAGUCCUGAUACGAAACGGAACCAUCUGCACGAGAGGCCGCCUCGCCGGGUGUUCCCACACGCGCGACUCUGAGGCCAGACUGAUCUGGCUGCGCCCCCUCUGUGUGACCUGGACGAGAACUGGACGGCUCUGUGCUCCAAUUUCCUCGUCUGAAGGUGCAGAUAAAAACAGCACCGACCUCAGAGCUUCAUCAGGAUUAAUUAAACGGAGAUAGAGACAGCCAGCGAGAGAGGGAACACAAGCAGGGGGAGUGGGAGAG